GUAAAUAUAUGUACGGCAUAUACAGUGAAAGAUAAAUAUAGGAUAAGUAUUUCACUUAUAUUUACCCGGAAAUGUUCAGCGCGGCUGGUAUAAAUUUGCAAUAAUUGUAUGAGGAUCUAUGUACUGUACUACUGCAGUAGUAUUACUACUUCCUCUACUACGCAGUAUUUUCAUGUACUGCGCUGUCUUUGUCCUCAGUGACUGUGUUCACAGUUUAUCGUUGAAGUCAGCCUGAGCGUCCAGAUUCUUUUUUAACUCCUCCAUGCCACCCAAGAGAGACGCAGGCGAGAGGAUAAGUACAGGAUGGAAUCCAGUUACUCACCUUUCCCAGACAAUGAGCCUGAUACUAUUGAAUUUGAGGAGGAGAACAUUGCAAGUCCAGGCAUCAGAACAGACACCGUCAGCCUGCUCAUGAAAAUAGAGCAACUGCAGGCUCAGCUGAAAUAUGAACGCAGAUGUAGAAUUUUGGCAGAGAGAGAACUAAGGGAACUCAAAGAGAUGAACACCCUGAUGAUGCAGAUGAGGCACACAGCACAUGAGCUACGUGUCACUCUGGAUCACGUUCUCCAAGGAGGCGAGGCAGCAGGAGUGCCACAAAGCACAGAUGAAGCCAUCUCUUUCUUGAGCGAGCCUGAGAUGAGAGGAGUUCAUAGCAUUCCAGAGGAUGACCACAACUUCCUGUAUCUCUCUGAGAAUCUAAGAGUGCCAAAAAACUUAUACGAGCGCGUUGCAGAGAUCGCAGAUUACAAGAAGUACACCUCAGCGUUGCUGAUGAUUCUCUUUGACAGAGAAACACUGGCUACACACUCUUUGCAGGGCCGAAGAAACACCUUUACAGGAGAUGAUUGCCACAAGCCUCAACUCCCCCCUGACGUUCUGAAAAGUAUAAUUGAUCAUGUGGCAGUAAAGUUCGGUGUUGACAGCAGCCAAAUAAAAACUGCAAUCCGCACAAAGUUGAACAAUGAGGAUAAAUUACUGAAGAAGAGACUGGGUUUGGUUAAAACGGAACACAAAGCUGUUGUUGAUCAAAACUUUUCCCAAGAUGCUUCACUCCUGACUGAAAACGGCGCGUUGACAAAUGACUCUCAGUUGUAGCAUUUCCAGUCCGCCUUCGUGUGCCGGUCACUAGUAUUUCACGUGUGAUAGAAGUGUGUGUGACGGUUGCCUUUUUUUGAUCUGCUUCUAGUUUAUCCUGCGAUUAAAUCUAGUGCUUGAAGUUAUUUUUUAAUCACUUUUUAGAAUUCUAUUUUUUUUACUUUGCCAUGUUUAAAUGUGUAACCUGGUAAACAGAUACAGGCAUUCAGUAGCACUCUAAAUAUUACAUGUGGUGAAAACAAGUGUUCUUAUUUAAAUGGCCUUACUGUAUGACAAACAGUAAGUGACUAAAAAACAGGUCUGUGAAGUCAGUCUUUGUCAAGUAUUUCAAUCAGUAUGUGUAAAUAUGACAUGUUACAAAACAAUACACAACUCCUCUGUACCCUGUAAGCUGAUGACAAACUGUGUGUUAAAACCAGUGAUGCUGUGUUUUUAAUUCAUUUUCAGCAUCAGAAUAAGCCAGUCCGUCCUCACCAGAAAAAUGUCACAUGAGGUCGUUUUGGGACUCCAUCUAUGAUCAUAUGUUCCAUUACUGCAAACUUGAAAUAAUGUUGUAUGUCUUAAAAAAACAUGUCUAUAUGUGUCAUCAGCCGAAACCUGACCAUGAGGUGUGUUAUUGUCCAAAUGUGGCGUUUUUUUUUAAUUGUGAGGACGUGUUGCAAUAAGCUGUAAGUGAUUAUUAUAACCUUCAACAACAU
ensembl:lncRNA uncharacterized LOC114436222